AUGAACGCUAGCUACAGGCUUAACACAUGCAAGUCGAGGGGCAGCAUUUUAGUUUGCUUGCAAACUAAAGAUGGCGACCGGCGCACGGGUGAGUAACACGUAUCCAACCUGCCGAUAACUCGGGGAUAGCCUUUCGAAAGAAAGAUUAAUAUCCGAUAGUAUAUUAAAACCGCAUGGUUUUACUAUUAAAGAAUUUCGGUUAUCGAUGGGGAUGCGUUCCAUUAGUUUGUUGGCGGGGUAACGGCCCACCAAGACUACGAUGGAUAGGGGUUCUGAGAGGAAGGUCCCCCACAUUGGAACUGAGACACGGUCCAAACUCCUACGGGAGGCAGCAGUGAGGAAUAUUGGUCAAUGGACGAGAGUCUGAACCAGCCAAGUAGCGUGAAGGAUGACUGCCCUAUGGGUUGUAAACUUCUUUUAUAUGGGAAUAAAGUAUUCCACGUGUGGAAUUUUGUAUGUACCAUAUGAAUAAGGAUCGGCUAACUCCGUGCCAGCAGCCGCGGUAAUACGGAGGAUCCGAGCGUUAUCCGGAUUUAUUGGGUUUAAAGGGAGCGUAGGUGGAUUGUUAAGUCAGUUGUGAAAGUUUGCGGCUCAACCGUAAAAUUGCAGUUGAAACUGGCAGUCUUGAGUACAGUAGAGGUGGGCGGAAUUCGUGGUGUAGCGGUGAAAUGCUUAGAUAUCACGAAGAACUCCGAUUGCGAAGGCAGCUCACUAGACUGCAACUGACACUGAUGCUCGAAAGUGUGGGUAUCAAACAGGAUUAGAUACCCUGGUAGUCCACGCCGUAAACGAUGAGUACUAAGUGUUGGGGGUCAAACCUCAGUGCUGCAGUUAACGCAAUAAGUACUCCGCCCGAGUAGUACGUUCGCAAGAAUGAAACUCAAAGGAAUUGACGGGGGCCCGCACAAGCGGUGGAGCAUGUGGUUUAAUUCGAAGCAACGCGAAGAACCUUACCAGGUCUUGACAUCCGAUGCAUAGCACAGAGAUGUGUGAAAUCCUUCGGGACAUCGAGACAGGUGGUGCAUGGUUGUCGUCAGCUCGUGUCGUGAGAUGUUGGGUUAAGUCCCGCAACGAGCGCAACCCCUGUUGCCAGUUGCCAGCAUUAAGUUGGGGACUCUGGCGAGACUGCCGGUGACAAGCCGGAGGAAGGCGGGGAUGACGUCAAAUCAUCAUGCCCCUUAUGACCUGGGCUACACACGUACUACAAUGGGUGUCAACAAAGAGAAGCGAACCCGCGAGGGAGAGCAAAGCUCAAAAACACACCCCCAGUUCAGAUCGCAGGCUGCAACCCGCCUGCGUGAAGUCGGAAUCGCUAGUAAUCGCAGGUCAGCAUACUGCGGUGAAUACGUUCCCGGGCCUUGUACACACCGCCCGUCACACCAUGGGAGUCGGAAAUGCCCGAAGUCUGUGACUCAACCGCAAGGAGAGAGCAGCCGAAGGCAGGUCUGAUAACUGGGGUG
rnacentral:rRNA from 1 species